CAGCGGGAAGGGGUCUGUGGCGACUGACCUAGCGCCUGGCGGGACGGAGGCCACUCGCCUUCCUCACACGGGAUGUGGGCAGCUUUCCAGAGACACUAAGUUUGCGAAGUUUGUGGGGCACCUGUGUGGCUCUUGUCGCUGCGCACCGGGAGACCUUUCAGCGAACCUGCGCCCUCUCCUGUCAGUCAAAGAAACCGCAUUCCUGAGACACCCUGAGGCAGAGCUCCCACAACAAGUGACUUCAAGAGGUCUGAGAAACAGAAGAAAGGGACUUGUCCUUGAACCCUACGGCCUUGGGGUCUUGCCUCACCUCUCCUGACUCUGGGCUUCAGUGUCUUCUUCUGCAAAAUGAACGCAGCUACUAAAGAAAAAGAUACCCAGUGCAUUCGGGAGACAGCCUUGUGCCAGGUAUGGGAACAUAAAGAUGAAUGAGACCUGCUCCCGGCUCGAGCUGGUAGAGCCCAAAGCCUUUGAAGCUGAGACGGGGGCCACCCUCUGAAAUUCACCUUCCACACUGCGGAUUCUCUCGCUGGUUACUACUAUCACCACCGUGCAGACUUCCAGGGGUGCUGCCCCUCCCACCUUAGUGAUCGGGUUGGCAUGACACGGAAUGCAUCGUUUUUGCAGCAGAGAAACCGACGGACAUAACCUUUGCCAUGUCAUCAAGGUUAAUGACCACAGCGCUAAGUCACGCUGGUAAAAUAUACCCUUGACCUGAUGUGAGGAGACUGGCGCUUUGCCUGCGUGAUCUUACUCCCAGGAACUUGUAACUCCGGUUUAACCGUGAGAAGAUCGUCAGAAACACUCAAACGGAGCAGCGCCUGGCUGACUCAGCUGGAAGACCACGUAACUGUCAAGAGCAUCAACUCGGGGUUGUAAGUUUGAGCCCCACGUUGGGUAUUGAGAUUACUAAAAU
rnacentral:lncRNA from 1 species